rnacentral:rRNA from 1 species
GAUGAACGCUGGUGGCGUGCCUAAUACAUGCAAGUCGAGCGAACAGACGAGGAGCUUGCUCCUCUGACGUUAGCGGCGGACGGGUGAGUAACACGUGGAUAACCUACCUAUAAGACUGGGAUAACUUCGGGAAACCGGAGCUAAUACCGGAUAAUAUAUUGAACCGCAUGGUUCAAUAGUGAAAGACGGUUUUGCUGUCACUUAUAGAUGGAUCCGCGCCGCAUUAGCUAGUUGGUAAGGUAACGGCUUACCAAGGCAACGAUGCGUAGCCGACCUGAGAGGGUGAUCGGCCACACUGGAAGUGAGACACGGUCCAGACUCCUACGGGAGGCAGCAGUAGGGAAUCUUCCGCAAUGGGCGACAGCCUGACGGAGCAACGCCGCGUGAGUGAUGAAGGUCUUCGGAUCGUAAAACUCUGUUAUUAGGGAAGAACAAAUGUGUAAGUAACUAUGCACGUCUUGACGGUACCUAAUCAGAAAGCCACGGCUAACUACGUG